rnacentral:rRNA from 1 species
AACGAACGCUGGCGGCAGGCUUAACACAUGCAAGUCGAACGAGAUCUUCGGAUCUAGUGGCAGACGGGUGAGGAACACGUGGGAACAUCCCUUUCAGUUCGGAAUAACGUUGGGAAACUAACGCUAAUACCGGAUACGUCCUUCGGGAGAAAGAUUUAUCGCUGAAAGAUUGGCCCGCGUCUGAUUAGCUAGUUGGUGAGGUAACGGCUAACCAAGGCUACGAUCAUUAGCUGAUCUGAGAGGAUGAUCAGCCACAUUGGGACUGAGACACGGCCCAAACUCCUACGGGAGGCAGCAGUGGGGAAUAUGGGACAAUGGGCGCAAGCCUGAUCCAGCCAUGCCGCGUGAGUGAUGACGGCCUUCGGGUGGUAAAGCUCUUUUGUCCGGGAAGAUAAUGACUGUACCGGAAGAAAAAGCCCCGGCAAACUCCGUGCCAGCAGCCGCGGUAG